rnacentral:rRNA from 1 species
CAGUAGCCGCGGUAAUACGUAGGGUGCGAGCGUUAAUCGGAAUUACUGGGCGUAAAGCGUGCGCAGGCGGUUGUGUAAGACAGGUGUGAAAUCCCCGGGCUUAACCUGGGAACUGCGCUUGUGACUGCACAGCUAGAGUAUGGCAGAGGGGGGUGGAAUUCCACGUGUAGCAGUGAAAUGCGUAGAGAUGUGGAGGAACACCGAUGGCGAAGGCAGCCCCCUGGGCCAAUACUGACGCUCAUGCACGAAAGCGUGGGGAGCAAACAGGAUUAGAUACCCCAGUAGUCCCUGUCUCUUAUAC